rnacentral:misc_RNA from 1 species
CCGAGUUUACAACUCCCAAACCCCUGUGAACAUACCACUUGUUGCCUCGGCGGAUCAGCCCGCUCCCGGUAAAACGGGACGGCCCGCCAGAGGACCCCUAAACUCUGUUUCUAUAUGUAACUUCUGAGUAACCAAAAUUUCGAAUAAAUCA